GAUGAAGAACGCAGCGAAAUGCGAUAAGUAAUGUGAAUUGCAGAAUUCAGUGAAUCAUCGAAUCUUUGAACGCACAUUGCGCCCGCCAGUAUUCUGGCGGGCAUGCCUGUCCGAGCGUCAUUUCAACCCUCGAACCCCUCCGGGGGGUCGGCGUUGGGGAUCGGCCCUUUACGGGGCCGGCCCCGAAAUACAGUGGCGGUCUCGCCGCAGCCUCUCCUGCGCGGUAGUUUGCACACUCGCAUCGGGAGCGCGGCGCGUCCACAGCCGUUAAACACCCCAAACUUCUGAAAUGUUGACCUCGGAUCAGGUAGGAAUACCCGCUGAACUUAAGCAUAUCAAUAAGCGGAGGA
rnacentral:misc_RNA from 1 species